AUUGAACGCUGGCGGCAUGCCUAACACAUGCAAGUCGAGCGGAGCGGCGGACGGGUGAGUAAUGACUAGGAAUCUGCCUGGUAGUUGGGUGUAACGUCCGGGAAAGGGCGCUAAUACCACAUACUCUGAGAUGAGCCUGGGUCGGAUUAGCUAGUUGGUGGGGUAAGGGCCUACCAAGGCGACGAUCCGUAACUGGUCUGAGAGGAUGAUCAGUCACACUGGAACUGAGACACGGUCCAGAAUCCUAAGGGAGGCAGCAGUGGGGAAUAUUGGACAAUGGGCGAAAGCCUGAACCAGCCAUGCCGCGUGUGUGAAGAAGGUCUUCGGAUUGUAAAGCACGUUAAGUUGGGAGGCGUUACCAACAGAAUAAGCACCGGCUAACUUCGUGCCAGCAGCCGCGGUAAUAC
rnacentral:rRNA from 1 species